GACAGAGGGUGCAAACGUUGUUCGGAAUUACUGGGCGUAAAGCGCAUGUAGGCGGCCAAGCAGGUCGGAUGUGAAAUCCCUCGGCUCAACCAAGGAAGUGCAUUCGAAACCGCAUGGCUGGAGUCCCGGAGAGGAUGGUGGAAUUCUCGGUGUAGAGGUGAAAUUCAUAGAUAUCGAAAGGAACACCGACGACGAAGACGGCCAUCUGGACGAGGACUGACGCUGAGAUGCGAAAGCGUGGGGAGCAAACAGG
rnacentral:rRNA from 1 species